rnacentral:misc_RNA from 1 species
ACACACUCAUAUACAAACACACACCGACACAAAGUACACACGGGGGCAGUCACGCGCGCGCGUACAUAGCACGCGCGCGUCAUACGCACUGCUCGCGCGCGCGCGCGCGCGCGACGCGUCGCAUCGCGCAGCGGAAGGAGCAGCGAAGAAGCUGUCGGGACGAGAGAGCCGGAGUCGGCUCGCACGGAAUCGCAUCGGGCACGGCGAGGGCCGCCGCGAGCUUGCGAGCGGGGACCGUAGUGCGCGUAAGCUUGCGGAGCAGAGUCGAAGCGAACGGGCGAGGGGGAAGAUCGACGCGCGAGCUCCUAAUACCGGAGCUUGCGGAGGUGCGCUACCUCCUCGGGGAACAUCUCCGUCGUGGAAGCUCUCGGCUGGAGUUGGUGCACUUCCGGUGCCAAUCUGCGAUCGACGACGGCAAGUCGUGAUGAACGAGCGUGUGUGAAGCUUGACAGACUGGAUGCGUCGCGACGGAAACGCACGCGGUGCUUGCGCAAGCUGUCGCGUGUAUCAGUGAGGCAGCUUCGUGCUUGCGCCCGGGUGUUCGCCGGGAGAGCCACGAGGAAAGGAGCCGAAGACGAGGGAAGCCCGGGACCAUACGAGGGCAGGAGACGGACACGGCGCCGGGCGAGCUUGCGCGAUCAGAAAAAGCUCGCGUGUGCUGUCUGGAUGCUGGGCGAUGUACGAGUGAAUAGAAUAGCUCGCAUCGCGGCGUUACGGCUCGAACGGAUGACGCACGCCUCUUUUUGUUGCAACGUGGCACACGGCGGAGUUUUGAAAAAGCACGUCGGGAAGCCGCGGACGCUCUUCUUUCGUUCACUGUUCGGUGUUUACUCGUAAACGUUUUUCUCCCCUCCAUUCGCUGUAAACAGCCACGUCCAUUCUUGUCCCCGCGAGUUCGAACUGCGUGACAGAGAAAGAGAAAGAAAGUAAGAGAGAGAGAGAGAGAGAGAGAGAGAAAGCGCGAGCGGAUAAUAGCCGCGAGAGCUUCGUAGCAAUAGACGAAAUUCUUAUUGUCAGCCAGCUGGCAUUCACCUACAAGCGACGCUCUGAGGGAAGCUCGCGUCUUGAUACAUAGUGUCUUAAAUAACAUUUCGUGAGAAGCUCCACUCGCGCGCACACGAGCGCGCUUCACUCACUGCGGGACGCGCGAGCUGAAUUUUCGGAGCAGGUGUCGUAUCGUCAGAGGCACCGCGAUAUCAAUGACACAAAAGGCCGUGCGAAACGGGCCUCUCGCAAUUCCACACUCAUUGUCUCGAGUGUCCUGAUCGUUCUUAGCCUUUGAAACCGAGGUUCUCGCAUUGCCGAGAGCGGCAGAGAGCGAACGGACGUUUCGUUGCGUGUUUCGUUACGCGAGCUCGCGAAGCUUACCACUUCUCGUGACGAUAGGGACGCGUAUCGACGAGCAAUAUCGACGAGCAAUGCCGUCGGCAGCCGCCUCUUCGACAAGAGCAUCGCUCGCAUCCACGUAGAGACCCGGAGCAGGAGCUCGCAAGCUCGAGAAUGUAGUGUCCUGGUGGACGCAUGCUGGCGGGGACUCAAGCUCAGGUUCUCGCGGUGAAAUUGCACGGCGGCCAAGCGAGCCGAAACAGGUGGAAGAUCUCCGGCGCGAUACGGCCUGAAGAGUAUCGCGAGGAGCUAUCGCAGGGUGGUUAUCGAUGAUGGUGGAAGGCACGUUGCCAAAACGCGAUUGGUUGGCCCGGCGCGCGUCUUCGCUCGACUCGAGCUUUGCUGCGUGCCGGUCGUCACUUCGCUGAACUCGGCGACAUCUCUUCGAGACCGUGUUAGGGAGUCAGAGAGGUAGACAGAUAGAUAAAUAGAGAGAGAGAGAGAGAGAGAGAGAGAGAGAGAGAGAGAGAGAGAGAGAGAGAGAGAGAGAGAAGCAAGGAGAGAAAAAGAAUCACUGAGGACCGCCAGGCGUGAAAUGACGAGCUCCAGACCUGUGCCUGAUCUUAAGCUGUCGACGUCGAUGUUGUCGUCGUCAUCGUCGUGGCGACGUUGGAGAGGCAAGCAUUGCUCGGUCAGUUAAUACGUUUCUUUUUCGGCGUGUCGCUGCGUGACCCGCGACCUCGUAACGACGAAUACGACGAAGUUGCCGACGGGCCUCGGUAACAGAGACUGUUUUGAUAGCUGAAUCUUGAAGAGAGAAAGCGACGAGACAGAGGACCCUAGAAGAAAUCGUUUUUAUUUCCGGGAGGGGAAGCUUCGUCCACGAGAUUGAGUGUAUACGCGAGCGGCAGCAGCGGCCGUAGCGAGUAGGUAAAUAAAUAGAUUCGUAGAUAAAUAAGCGAGCAAAUUAGAUGGAAGUAGCGCGGCCAUCGGGCGCGGGAGAAACGUCUGUAGAGCAAGUAGACCCCAGACGUAAGAGCUAAGACGUGGAGGAGCUCAGCCGUUAGAAGCUGAAGAGAAGUCGAAUUAAAAAUAGGGAUUAGCAACGCGAUCGUUCUUUAAGAAAGAUCUAGUCUCUCUAAUAGUUGUGUUACUAAUCGCGAACUUGAAGAAGCAUGAACCAGACGAAGGUCGAUUUGAGCUGACCUAAGAAUAACCGAGGCGAGAAGUGGCUUGUUCAAACGAGAUCCAGAAAGUGGAUCAUUCGUCAAUAGGAAAACGAUAGAGGAGAGAGAAAGAGAGAGAGAGAGAGAGAGAGAGAGAGAGGGGGGGGAGGAAAAGAAGAGGAAGAAAGAAGAGGAAAAGAGAAAAAGAGAGAAGAAAAAAAGUCUUCAAGUUCAAAGGUUUUAUUGCAUCUGAUUGUAGAAGAUAUAUUUGGAAAGCUGCCAGUUAAGAGUAUCAGAAUCCCGUUCCCGAUUUGUUGCGAGAAAGGGUAUUUAGAUAUCGACAAACGAGAUAUCGCGCGCAAACGGUGCAAAGCACCGUGAAUUUUAGAAGAGUCCUUCGUAAAUGUCGGGAUCAUCGUGAACUUGAAGAAAUACUCCUCACACACACACACACACACACACACACACACACACAGUCGGAGGGUUCCUCGUUCUUCGACGGGAUCGAUUGUCGUCGGGACGAUCGACGCGCGUGCAAGUCUGAUUGUCGAUGUUAGACUAAUCGUAGACUCGAGUAUUCAUUCUGAGAAGAGGAAGAGAAAAAGUGAGGCUUGAGACGGACGUAUCGGACGUAUCGAGUUGAGGCAAGGCGGGAGUAGAGCGCACGACGACGGCGACGACGGCGACGACGAGGACGACGCUUUUGAAACUCGGUCGACGCUCUGGCUCUCCCGCACUCCCUGAAGGAAGAUUCCACCUUCAAGCAUGGCCUCGGUGGCAGCGUGGCUGCCGUUCGCUCGCGCGGCGGCGAUCGGUUGGGUGCCGAUCGCCGCACACCCACUGCCACCGCCGCCGAUCCCGAAGGACCGGCGCAAGGCCGACGACGAGAAGCUGCUGAUCAACGUGAGCGGUCGCCGCUUUGAGACAUGGCGCAACACCCUGGAGAAGUACCCGGACACGUUGCUCGGCUCAAACGAGCGCGAGUUCUUCUACGACGAGGAGAGCAAGGAGUACUUCUUCGACCGGGACCCGGACAUCUUCCGGCACAUUCUCAAUUACUAUAGGACCGGUAAGCUGCAUUAUCCGAAGCACGAGUGCCUGACGAGCUACGACGAGGAGCUGGCGUUCUUCGGCAUCCUGCCGGACGUGAUCGGCGACUGCUGCUACGAGGACUACCGGGACCGCAAGCGCGAGAACGCCGAGCGGCUGAUGGACGACAAGCUGAGCGAGAACGGCGACCAGACGCUCCAGCAGCUGCUCGACAUACGGCAAAAGAUGUGGCGGGCCUUCCAGAACCCGCACAUCUCCACUGCCGCCUUGGUAUUCUACUAUGUAACCGGGUUCUUCAUCGCCGUGAGCGUGCUGGCGAACGUGGUGGAGACUGUGCCGUGCGGUAACCGUCCGGGACGCGCCGGCACCCUCUCGUGCGGCGAGCGUUACAAGAUCGUGUUCUUCUGCCUCGACACCGCGUGCGUGAUGAUAUUCACCGCCGAGUACCUGCUGAGGCUGUUCGCCGCGCCCAGCCGGUGCAAAUUCGCGCGCUCCGUGAUGUCGAUUAUCGACGUGGUCGCGAUACUGCCGUACUACAUCGGGCUCGGGAUCACCGACAACGACGACGUGUCGGGCGCGUUCGUGACGCUGCGCGUGUUCCGCGUGUUCCGUAUCUUCAAGUUCUCGCGGCACUCGCAGGGACUGCGGAUCCUGGGCUACACCCUCAAGUCCUGCGCCUCCGAGCUGGGUUUCCUCGUGUUCUCGCUCGCGAUGGCCAUUAUCAUCUUCGCCACCGUCAUGUUCUACGCGGAGAAGAACGUCGACGGCACCAACUUCACCUCGAUACCCGCCGCCUUCUGGUACACCAUCGUCACGAUGACUACGCUGGGAUACGGUGACAUGGUUCCGAAAACGAUCGCGGGAAAAAUCGUGGGGGGUGUAUGCUCCUUGAGCGGUGUCCUAGUGAUCGCUUUACCGGUACCUGUUAUCGUCAGUAAUUUCAGCAGAAUAUAUCAUCAAAACCAACGUGCCGACAAACGGAAGGCGCAGAGGAAAGCCAGAUUGGCGCGUAUCAGAAUCGCGAAGGCGUCGAGCGGCGCCGCCUUCGUGAGCAAAAAGAAGGCAGCGGAGGCGCGUAUAGCCGCUCAGCAGAGCGGACUGCAGCUGGAGGACUACAAGGAGGAGGAUAUCUUCGAGCUGCAGCAUCAUCACCUACUUCGCUGCUUGGAGAAGACUACGGACCGCGAGUUCGUGGAGAUGGAAGUGCCGUACAACGGCGCCCCGAAGAGGCCGGGCUCGCCGUCACCCCUGACCUCCCCUGCGCACAGCACUGCCUCCAGGGGCGGCCUGCUGCAUUCCUGCUGCGGGCGCUGCUACCCCCAACGUUACCAGCACUGCCGCCGAGGGUUCGAAUUCUGAAUUGGUACUCUCAGAAAUCAGGCGAUAAUCUCGAUUCUGAUCUCCCCACGAGGUCGCGGCGACUCCAAUCGGAUCUUGUAUCACCGAUGUUUCGCUCAUUUGGUGCCCGGAGAUUUAUCGUCGAUAAUGUCCAGAUUGGCAGACCGACCAGGUGUGACGGAAUACGGCAAACAUCUCGAGAUCCGCUACGUUAUACAGUUAAUGAAUUAAAUCUCUAGGAUUGCUCAGGACCUAAAGAAGCGCGGUUCCCACACCUGCGACAUGCAGGUCCUACAGCCACUUCCGGUCCCCACCAACAC